CCACAGGGCAUCUUAAGUCAAGCACAUUGCUGUCUGACCCCUGUGAGGUCACACAGAAUGCUAGCUCAAGGCACUAGUGUCAUAACGUAAUCUUUUACAUAAGUAAAUUGGUCUUGCUUUCCUCUCGUUGAUCAGGCUUCCUUUAUAGAGAUGGCAGCCUGGGCCUCUGAGAUCGAGGAAAAGAAAUCCCUUUUCUUUCAACAGGUGCCCAAAACUUUUUUUUUUUCUUGAAUGAUUAACACACCUGAGGAGGUAGCCAGGAGGUGCAGGGUCUCAGAAGUCACGGUCCUUGGAGUAUUUAAAAGACAUGUGCCUUUUUGAUCUUUAAAUUGGUCUUGGAGAGUGGGAUUAAUAAUUCAAAUAUUGCCUCAGUGUGAUUGAUUCAGCACUACUUUUAGGGGUAGAUGUUGAAAACUCUAAUUCCACAACACUAUACAUCCAAUCACUCCAAUUUAAUUUCUGCUUCUUUUAGGCUGUUUAGUUCUUUUCUAAGUAAGCUAGAAACAGAAAAUGGGUGAGUCCCUUAAAUCCCUCACUCAAUAAAGUUGGUGCCAUCGGGGAUUGGAGUACAGAUGAUGUAGAUUACGACCCACUGAUACAUUGGCAGCUCAAGCAUGGUCACAUGACCGGAAGCCACAGGCAGCCUGGUGUACCUGGAAGUCCAUCCGUCCAGGAGAGAUGGGUAGCAAGGGCUGAGGAGACCUCUGGGGACAUCCAAGGCAGGAUGGCUGGAGAGCCAGUGUCAGGCCAGACAGUGCAGAGGCCGCACUGCUUACCUGGCUCGGUUCUUGGUGACUGUGAAGAGAUGCUCUGUUGACCUCUCCACUCUGUAGAAGAGCAUCCGCUGGAGCUCAGAAAAGGAUACCUCAGAGGAAGGGCCUCCUGAUUUCACCCUCGUUCUUCUCUGAGACAAGGACCAAAAGGACCAGAAUUUCUUCUCCUCAAGUGAGCCACAGGAACAAGAACCUCCAUCCCUAAAGCCAAGGGCUAAAAUUUACCCAUUACUGUUUCCUGCUUAUCCGUAAGCGUUGGCCAUAAAGAAAUUUUUGGCUGACGUUGUCUGAAUGUAGGUCCCACAUUACAGAAAGGAUCUUGUCCCACGAUGUGGGUGGAAAAGAAGCAGCUGAUUCCCCCAAUUCAGAACUACUUUUACACCCUGUGAGGAACCCAGAAAUGGUUAAAGAACACAUUCCAGUUGGUGGUGUUGAUAGAGUCGACGUGUCCAUCGGGACAGACCACGGUAGGCCAAUGCACUUCCACGUAGGAGAGGUUUAUUGGGGUGACAGAGACAAAAGGGGGAAAGAGAGGGAGGAAGAAGAAGGGGGAAAGUCAGGAAAGGUCUGCUUUUUAUUUAAACUGAGACGUGACCGCACGCAGGUAAAGGUGGGAGAUAAACCAAAUGAAUGCUGGGAAUGUAUGGUCGUUGCCAUGGCAACAGAUGCACACGUCCCUGUUGCCUGUUGGUGACGUCACUGCCGAAUCUUGUCUGUUGGUGACGUCACUGCCGGAUUCAGAGGCGAAAGCGGUUCCUGAUAUCAACAGUUGGUUCUGAUGCUGCUAAGUCUAUAAAGAAAAACUCUGAACUCUUUGGAGACAGAAACCUCACAUAGUCCAUGCUGGCCUUUGCUAUAUAACCAAGGCCGGCCUUGAACUUCUGAUGCCCCUGUCUCUACCUCCUGAGUUCUGGGAUUACAACAGACAGCUGGCCUUGGGAGGGGCAGGGGUUGUCCUUUUUAAAGCCUUAGUUUGUGGGAUUCAGGAAAGGGAGUCUGUAGUUGGGGACAAUAUCUUUGUAGACCUGAAGACCUAGCUUAUAACUUUCUUCCACUCAGUUUGGACAACAUCUAUACAUUCUGAGAGGGGUGAGACCCUCCCUAGACCAGAAAGAAUUGGGGGGUUGUCCAGUCAUGGGGCUGAAAUGAAAAAGUGGAAAAUCUGUAAGCAGAAGUAACUGAGUGACCGAUGACCACAUGAUGACCUUUGCAACCAGAUGCUAAGAUACCAACCAGCCCAGGACUGGACAGUGGAUCAGGUUAAGUCUCCUGUCCUCUAAUGCAGGUAUUGGCUUCCAGACCUUGGCUGUUGUACAACCUAAUCCAAUACUAUCCAGAAGAAAGGGCGUGCUGACUGUUGAUAAUUGGCCAUUGUCUCCUGUUGUUACUGUGACAAAGCUCCACAGACUGACUUAAGGUAGCACAUGUUUACCGCCUUAAAGUUCUAGAGUUCAGGAGUCUGAAAUAGAACUUCAGGGCCCAAAUUAAGGGGGGUCCACUCUCCAGGGGCUCUGAAGUUUCCUUGGCUUGUGAACCUCUCCCCUGUCUCCUUCAAAUCCAGCAGUAUCGUUCUGUCUGUCUGUCUGUCUGUCUGUCUGUCUGUCUCCUUCCCUCUCUCUCAUUCUCUUUCUCUCCCCCUCUUUCCCCUUUUCCCUCUCAUCUCUUCUCUCCCUCCCUUUCCGUGAUACAACUGAAAAUAGUCAAGUAUUCAUACAAACAAACCUUUCUAACACUAAGAAAUCCCUUCAAAAACAGAUUUCUUUAAUCCAAAUACCCACUUACAGAAAUCAGAGCGUCAAAUUCCCAACCACAGCUGCUCUGACAGGUAAAACUAUGUCAUCAACAAAUAAAAAUAAAACCCAAGCAGCAUUCAAGUUAGAAGCACAGGAGGGUGACACCCCUGUCCCUUCCCGGUGUAUCUACCAACAGAGCGGGUGAGCAGAUGCUGGGUCACACUGGCUGUGGGCUGCAUGGAAUCUGCCGCUGGACCCCCUCAGCUGAAUCCACUGAGGAGCCUAGACUGCCAGAGGAUGAUCUUCCAAAAGGGGAAAAAUCUCCAGUAUCCUUCAAAGUGAAGACUGACCAGGUAUGAAGGGCGUUCCCCAAGGGAACCAUACUUAUAACUUGGUGAAGAAUGAACGGGUAUUGGUCAGGAAUAUUGGAAUGAAUUUGCAAAUGGAUACAAACUAGCCUUUCCACACACAACAAGGAAAGUCUUGUCUCAACCACAGAGAACCUAUUUGUGCAUCUGCGAUCAAGAAUUGUUUGCAAGACUGUUUGUUCUCCUGGGACAUCAGAAUAGCCAGGCCGGAUCACUGUGGGAGGAGCCAGCAUUCCACAGAAAGGGUGGUUAGUGCUUUCCUGCUGACUUCAAAGACUUAAUUUUUAUAGUCCUGACUCAAAUCAACAGCGAUGCAUUUUUCCACAAUGAGAGGCUCACACAGUAAUGCUUAAGUACAUACCCCACAGUCUCUCGGCCCCUAGGCCUGGAGCCUAGUCCUACAGCUUUGGGAGAGUGGCUCAAUCCGGAAUCAACAACCAGCAGCCCAAGAACUACAUCCAGCCCACUGCACUGCCUGCUUUUGAAAAGUUCUUCAGGAAGUUGUAGCUCAGUCAGUGGUAGAGCUCUCGGCUAACAUGCACAAACAUGCAGCGUUCAAUGUUCAGCACAGCAAGAGAGCAGACAAAAACCAUCCCAAACACCAAUACAGGUAAGGGUUGUGUGUGUGCCUCCAGGUACUCAGAAGACAGAGCCAAGCAGAUCUCUGAGUUCGAGGCCAGCCUGGUCUACAGAGUCAGUUCCAGGACAGACAGAGCUACAAGUGAGACAUUGUCUCAAACAAACAACAAAAUUUUUCAUAUAUAUCUAUAGGUAUAUAGAUAUAUAGAUAUAUAGAUAUAGAUAGAUAGAUAUAAUAUUUUAAGUGGUUGGAAAAACCAAAACAAACAAAAGAACAGUGUUCUUUGAAAUGUGACAAAAAUUACAGAAGUCAGACUUCUGUGCUCAAAAACUAUUUUCUCUGAGCUGGUGUAUUUGUUUCUGUGCUGUCUAUGGCUCCUUUCUCUCCAGAGUGGUAGUGUCGAGAAGCUGUGUCAGGCACCAUUUGACCCACAGUGGCUGAAGGUUUUUUUGUUUGCACCUUUACAGAAAAGGUUUACCAAUCCUCCUUUUCUCUGUAUAGGUUUGGUAAGUCUGAUUUUGCUCACUUUGUAAGGGAGGCUAAGACUGGUCCUUGCCUCCCAGACCAGCAGUGAUACCUGAGAAAAGACAGGUGAAGUGGAAACUUAAGGGUUCUUUGGAAAGUCGGUUGGAUGGUGUUUUGCUGGGGUAAACACGUGAAGGAAUGGUUAGCUGAAGUGAACACAGGUGAAAGGCUAAGGCAGUCUCAUGAAGGAACAUUUAGCUGAAACAGACACAGGAGAGAGGACAUCCUGCUAAAGCAAGCACGUGAAAGUACAUAUAAUGAAGGACUUUUUGCUAACGGCACACAUAUAUUGGUCUACUUUGCAUUGAGUAGUUAGAACUGAAUUUGUCAGGACUCCCUAGAGAAAUGCACCAACAAGCUUCUGGUGGUGUGCUGUGGCUUUUUUGCUGCUUCUGCAGUCAGGCUGAUUGGCAGAGUGAUGUCAGCUGAGACAGAUGCAGUGCUGAGGCAAGACCUGUAGAGGACAAGUGAUGUUUGAAGGUAUACAUAGGACUUCACAGACAGUGACAGAGGCUAGCGUGACUUGCUUAUAGAGCUAGAGGUGCAACCUGAUCUUCCCUGAUCUUUGAUUUGAUGAGAGAGGCACAGCCGAGAACUUCCCCUGGCGUCCCCCCUGGUCCCUCUGCUGACUCGAGCUGAGGCUGAGGCCUGGCUGUCUCUGCUAGGUAGUGCCUUGGCUGCUGAUUCCCAUUUGCCAUCCUGACGUAGAGAACUGGACUGACUGCUGGUGCAUCCGUGAGUGUCUGUGAGAGAAUGGAGCUGCCACUGCCUGCUGACCUGUGAACAGAACUGCCAAUUUCCAGACAACACAGAAUGAGCUGCUCCCAAGAACCUUUCUAAACAGGUCUACUCCCCUCCCCCACAUAUCCUUUCUUUCCCAUUACUUCUGGUGGGUGGCAGACUAGAAGAAAGGUUAAAACAUUUAGGGGUUGGGGAUUUAGCUCAGUGGUAGAGCGCUUGCCUAGCAAGUGCAAGGCCCUCAGCUCCGAAAAAAAAAAAAAAUUAAAGAACCAUCAUUAGAAAUAAGGUUUGAAAAAAAUGUAAAGUUACAGAUAUGGAAAGCUUCUAUAGGAAUAGGACCAGCCAGAAGGAAUCCCCAGACUAAGUGGCUCAUGCCAUGCCAGGAUGUAAAGCCACCCGCUUGCCUUUUGAGGGCGUGUUCUAGAUUCAUUCCUAUUGCUGUGACAAAUGCCCUGACGAACAGCAACACAGGGGAGAAAGGUUUUGUUUCCUUACCAUUCUGGGCUAUGUCGGGCUCUGGGUAGAAGCCAAGAAAACUUACUUCAGAUACAGAAGCUUAACAGUGAAAGCUUUAUUUUGUUGAGCACUUGGGGAAACGGCCAGUCGGGAUCUGAACCUCGUCCCUGAAGGGAGAUUGUAGGUUUUUAAAAGAUGGGACCACAAAGCAAAGGGGAUGACUACAAUGUUAUCCAAUUGUAAUUUGACAUUAGGGGUUAGGUAAGGGAGUAACCAUUGAAGACUGGGUGGUAUCCACAGCACCUGGCUUCAAGGUCCUUAAUUCAUUCUCCUAGACAAUUAAGUCUGGAGCUCAGAGUGACUGGGGGUUGGGGGGAGGGAGAGCAGGCCAGCUGCAUGUAGUUAAUUAGGGCAUAAAAGGCAAUUGGUUAUAUAUUUUUUCAACUUACGCACCUUGGCUUAGAUAACAGUAAUUUCUUAAAUUUGUUAGUUGUUAACAGACAAUUAGGGAAACACUUGGAAAAGUGGGGUAGGUGCUCAGUCCUGGUCUGGGAACAUGAACUUGUUUGACCCUGCCAGCAAGAUGGAGAAGUUGUCUCUGAGAUGUCUGGACUCAGACAACUGUUUAUACCAGAAGCUGUUCAGCUAGAGGGAAGUCCCCAGCUCCCCCGGGGCCUGGGAUCUUGAAUUUAAUUUCUCCCUAUGAUUAAACGGAGUCUAAAAACAGAAUGGUAACACUUAGAAUAAGUUUCUUUCCCUUGUUCCCAACAGGCCAUAGCCCAUUUAUUGAGGGGAGGGGGUCGCAGUGAGAACUCAAGCCGCCGGUCUCAGGACAUUCAGUCAAGAGCAAGGAGGCAAGUGUAUUGGUGCUGCCAGUUUGCUUGCUCUCCGAUAGUUUGCUCCCUUUGUUCUUACGCAGGUCACUGUCCUGCUCCUGAGCAGGUGCUGCCCACGUCUGAGGUAGGUCUUCAUCCCCCGCCAUUCAUUUAAGGCAACCCAGUCACCCUCAGAUAACCCUACAAGCCAAACCCAACCAAGGUAGGGAAUCCCUCACUUAGACUGUCUUCACAGCUGAUUCUAGCUCAUGGCAGGUUGACAUUUAAGACCAAGCAUCUCAGGGGCCACUAAGCCAGGCUGAUAGAUGCCUACAGUUGCCUAUAUCACUCCUGUCUUUCCGCAUUAAUAAAGCUCGUCUUUCCUGAGCUCGUUUUAUGUCCCAGGCAUGCUGUGAAUUCCUUACGUAUGUUACAUUGCUUCUUAUUUUACGCCAGUCCUAUCAUGGGUAGGUGUUGCUAUUGUGUCUGUUUUACAGGUCAGAAAACAAAGCCCCAAAGAGUAGGGCUGUGGAGACAGCACAGUCAACAACACGUUCGGGUUGCAAUCUGAGAACCUGGGCUCAAUGCCUAGAUGAAAAAGCCAGACUCGGUGGCUCACGCUUGUAAUCCCAGUGCUGGGGAGACAGGGACACAUGGAUCCCUGAGGCGCACUGGCCAACUUGGCCUACUUGCUGCAGAGACGGGAAUUCUCAAAGAAAAGAAACAAUCCAAAAAGUCAUGUUUUCCUCUGGCAGCCCACAAGACAGGGACAAGACAGAUACACAAACAGAAAGACACAAGCACUCGGGGUUAAAGGAAGACAUAUUUAAAGGAUGACGGAAUGCAGAAGAUGCAACAGUAUCAACCGGGAGAGACCAGCUGUAUCUUCUGGGGCCAGGUGCUGGGCUCCCUUCCUGUUUCUCUAUCUCUUGAUUUUUCAAGCAGAACACAGUAAUUGACAGUAAUUUGCAUCCUUCCAAGUUUGGGCCUUUUAUCUGCGACUCUAUUGUGCUGUCUGUAAGGUAUGCACGAGGCCUGAGGAGGACUCCUAGCUGUCUCCUCUGUGAUUUGGCAUUGCUUGGGGCUUCAUUAAGAGCAUAACUAUGCUGACGCUGCUGCAGCGAGGACCACAAAUGGGCUAGGGAAAGCAGUUGUUAAAAUAUAAAAAUGCAAUAAAGAAGUCAUGGGUGUUUUUCCACUAA